rnacentral:rRNA from 1 species
ACGAACGCUGGCGGCCUGCUUAACACCUGCAAGUCGAACGGAAAGGCCCUGCUUUUGUGGGGUGCUCGAGUGGCGAACGGGUGAGUAACACGUGAGUAACCUGCCCUUGACUUUGGGAUAACUUCAGGAAACUGGGGCUAAUACCGGAUAGGAGCUCCUGCUGCAUGGUGGGGGUUGGAAAGUUUCGGCGGUUGGGGAUGGACUCGCGGCUUAUCAGCUUGUUGGUGGGGUAGUGGCUUACCAAGGCUUUGACGGGUAGCCGGCCUGAGAGGGUGACCGGCCACAUUGGGACUGAGAUACGGCCCAGACUCCUACGGGAGGCAGCAGUGGGGAAUAUUGCACAAUGGGCGGAAGCCUGAGGCAGCAACGCCGCGUGCGGGAUGACGGCCUUCGGGUUGUAAACCGCUUUCGCCUGUGACGAAGCGUGAGUGACGGUAAUGGGUAAAGAAGCACCGGCUAACUACGUG